rnacentral:rRNA from 1 species
CCGUAGCCUGGUAGCGGGGGAUAACUAUUGGAAACGAUAGCUAAUACCGCAUAAUAGUAGAUGUUGCAUGACAUUUGCUUAAAAGGUGCAAUUGCAUCACUACCAGAUGGACCUGCGUUGUAUUAGCUAGUUGGUGGGGUAACGGCUCACCAAGGCAACGAUACAUAGCCGACCUGAGAGGGUGAUCGGCCACACUGGGACUGAGACACGGCCCAG